CGGGGGCGGCGGCCCGGUCGUGCGGGCCGCCCGCGUUCGGGUCACGGGGGAGCCGGUUCGGAUCGGCGCCCCCGCCC
rnacentral:tRNA from 1 species